CGCGCGCCUCGCUCGCCGCGCAACCACUUCGCUCUAACGGCCCGCCGAACGUGCACGCGCGUACACGCACCGACCGACGUAAACGGCAACCGUUCGACCAGCGUGGAAAAACUGGCCGCUUCCAUUCCGCACGCACUCCCGCGUUUCAUUUUGCGGAGCAGCACUCGCCACCUCCGUUUUUUCGCCGGCCCCAAAGCGAGAUUCGACAAUGCGCGAAGGGAGAACGAGUGAGAAGCAAGAACACGGAAGAGAAAGAGAGAGAGGAGGAAAUAGACAUGAAAUGCGCCUCUUUCAGUUCCUCAUCCCACAUUUAUCUCCGUUCAUGUCCAUUAUCCACUCGGAUUACACACCGGAGGAUUCCGCUUUCGUACGCACGUAAACGGCUUUAACAUCGGGAGAUUGUUUUUUGUCCCGUACGCCCGUCAGCCAGUUCCACGAAUAUGAUGCAUUCCCCUAUCUUCAUUGUUGACACUCAGAUAUUUACUUUUCUUAUAGGUUAUACGGAAUGAGCAAAAAGUGUCCGACUAAAAUACAAAAUGUCUCGAAAACAAGACGGUUGAGAAAAAGAUGUCAUACGGAAAAAGAUGUUAUACGCAACAUUUCUGAAGGAGAGGAGGGAAGGGCAAACGAUGCGCAGCUGUCACACGGAGAAGAAGAAGAAGAAGAAGAAGAAGAAAAUCGCAACGCUAUCGUGCAAUCGCUCUUUAAAUUUCGCCAGGCUUCUCAAAGAAGAUCGAUUCCGCCGAUUGCGCCAGCAAAUAAAACGUAAUGUACGUGGAUAGAAAUUAUUUUAAUACCUCUGAGGAUCCGUUUGCGAUUUCUGCCUGCGAUUAUUCAAAGUCGAGGCGGUUUGAAGUCCCAUUGGACG
rnacentral:lncRNA from 1 species